rnacentral:rRNA from 3 species
AUAGGGUCAAGUGAAUAAGUGCAUCAGGCGGAUGCCUUGGCGAUGAUAGGCGACGAAGGACGUGUAAGCCUGCGAAAAGCGCGGGGGAGCUGGCAAUAAAGCUAUGAUUCCGCGAUGUCCGAAUGGGGAAACCCACUGCAUUCUGUGCAGUAUCCUAAGUUGAAUACAUAGGCUUAGAGAAGCGAACCCGGAGAACUGAACCAUCUAAGUACCCGGAGGAAAAGAAAUCAACCGAGAUUCCGCAAGUAGUGGCGAGCGAACGCGGAGGAGCCUGUACGUAAUAACUGUCGAGAUAGAAGAACAAGCUGGGAAGCUUGACCAUAGCGGGUGACAGUCCCGUAUUCGAAAUCUCAACAGCGGUACUAAGCGUACGAAAAGUAGGGCGGGACACGUGAAAUCCUGUCUGAAUAUGGGGGGACCAUCCUCCAAGGCUAAAUACUCAUCAUCGACCGAUAGUGAACCAGUACCGUGAGGGAAAGGCGAAAAGAACCCCGGGAGGGGAGUGAAACAGAACCUGAAACCUGAUGCAUACAAACAGUGGGAGCGCCCUAGUGGUGUGACUGCGUACCUUUUGUAUAAUGGGUCAACGACUUACAUUCAGUAGCGAGCUUAACCGGAUAGGGGAGGCGUAGGGAAACCGAGUCUUAAUAGGGCGAUGAGUUGCUGGGUGUAGACCCGAAACCGAGUGAUCUAUCCAUGGUCAGGUUGAAGGUGCCGUAACAGGUACUGGAGGACCGAACCCACGCAUGUUGCAAAAUGCGGGGAUGAGCUGUGGGUAGGGGUGAAAGGCUAAACAAACUCGGAGAUAGCUGGUUCUCCCCGAAAACUAUUUAGGUAGUGCCUCGAGCAAGACACUGAUGGGGGUAAAGCACUGUUAUGGCUAGGGGGUUAUUGCAACUUACCAACCCAUGGCAAACUCAGAAUACCAUCAAGUGGUUCCUCGGGAGACAGACAGCGGGUGCUAACGUCCGUUGUCAAGAGGGAAACAACCCAGACCGCCGGCUAAGGUCCCAAAUGAUAGAUUAAGUGGUAAACGAAGUGGGAAGGCACAGACAGCCAGGAUGUUGGCUUAGAAGCAGCCAUCAUUUAAAGAAAGCGUAAUAGCUCACUGGUCGAGUCGUCCUGCGCGGAAGAUGUAACGGGGCUCAAAUCUAUAACCGAAGCUGCGGAUGCCGGUUUACCGGCAUGGUAGGGGAGCGUUCUGUAGGCUGAUGAAGGUGCAUUGUAAAGUGUGCUGGAGGUAUCAGAAGUGCGAAUGUUGACAUGAGUAGCGAUAAAGCGGGUGAAAAGCCCGCUCGCCGAAAGCCCAAGGUUUCCUACGCAACGUUCAUCGGCGUAGGGUAAGUCGGCCCCUAAGGCGAGGCAGAAAUGCGUAGUCGAUGGGAAACAGGUUAAUAUUCCUGUACUUGAUUCAAAUGCGAUGUGGGGACGGAGAAGGUUAGGUUGGCAAGCUGUUGGAAUAGCUUGUUUAAGCCGGUAGGUGGAAGACUUAGGCAAAUCCGGGUUUUCUUAACACCGAGAAGUGAUGACGAGUGUCUACGGACACGAAGCAACCGAUACCACGCUUCCAGGAAAAGCCACUAAGCUUCAGUUUGAAUCGAACCGUACCGCAAACCGACACAGGUGGGCAGGAUGAGAAUUCUAAGGCGCUUGAGAGAACUCGGGAGAAGGAACUCGGCAAAUUGAUACCGUAACUUCGGGAGAAGGUAUGCCCUCUAAGGUUAAGGACUUGCUCCGUAAGCCCCGGAGGGUCGCAGAGAAUAGGUGGCUGCGACUGUUUAUUAAAAACACAGCACUCUGCCAACACGAAAGUGGACGUAUAGGGUGUGACGCCUGCCCGGUGCCGGAAGGUUAAUUGAAGAUGUGCAAGCAUCGGAUCGAAGCCCCGGUAAACGGCGGCCGUAACUAUAACGGUCCUAAGGUAGCGAAAUUCCUUGUCGGGUAAGUUCCGACCCGCACGAAUGGCGUAACGAUGGCCACACUGUCUCCUCCCGAGACUCAGCGAAGUUGAAGUGGUUGUGAAGAUGCAAUCUACCCGCUGCUAGACGGAAAGACCCCGUGAACCUUUACUGUAGCUUUGCAUUGGACUUUGAAGUCACUUGUGUAGGAUAGGUGGGAGGCUUGGAAGCAGAGACGCCAGUCUCUGUGGAGUCGUCCUUGAAAUACCACCCUGGUGUCUUUGAGGUUCUAACCCAGACCCGUCAUCCGGGUCGGGGACCGUGCAUGGUAGGCAGUUUGACUGGGGCGGUCUCCUCCCAAAGCGUAACGGAGGAGUUCGAAGGUUACCUAGGUCCGGUCGGAAAUCGGACUGAUAGUGCAAUGGCAAAAGGUAGCUUAACUGCGAGACCGACAAGUCGGGCAGGUGCGAAAGCAGGACAUAGUGAUCCGGUGGUUCUGUAUGGAAGGGCCAUCGCUCAACGGAUAAAAGGUACUCCGGGGAUAACAGGCUGAUUCCGCCCAAGAGUUCAUAUCGACGGCGGAGUUUGGCACCUCGAUGUCGGCUCAUCACAUCCUGGGGCUGUAGUCGGUCCCAAGGGUAUGGCUGUUCGCCAUUUAAAGUGGUACGUGAGCUGGGUUUAAAACGUCGUGAGACAGUUUGGUCCCUAUCUGCAGUGGGCGUUGGAAGUUUGACGGGGGCUGCUCCUAGUACGAGAGGACCGGAGUGGACGAACCUCUGGUGUACCGGUUGUAACGCCAGUUGCAUAGCCGGGUAGCUAAGUUCGGAAGAGAUAAGCGCUGAAAGCAUCUAAGCGCGAAACUCGCCUGAAGAUGAGACUUCCCUUGCGGUUUAACCGCACUAAAGGGUCGUUCGAGACCAGGACGUUGAUAGGUGGGGUGUGGAAGCGCGGUAACGCGUGAAGCUAACCCAUACUAAUUGCCCGUGAGGCUUGACUCUAU